UUGACCAGGGGAAAAAACUACUUUCAGAAAAGAAAAACUAAAGCCACAAGCAGUGAUAAAUCGAAGACGAUGCAGCCAACGUUGGAAUCGGGUCAGCUUGGACAACCUGCAGUCACAGGUGCCCUGUCACCUGCGAGCUUCUCUCAGCCUCCUCGGAUGCCUCCACCAACCCCGGGCAGCAGUUUCUCAACCCAGAAAAAGAAAACGCAAAACACAAAUACUGCAAAAUCUGAGAUGAUGCAGCCAACGCUGGAAUGGGGUCAGCUUGGACAACCUUCCGUCACAGGUGCCCUGUCACCUGCGAGCUUCUCUCAGCCUCCUCAGAUGCCUCCACCAACUCCGGGCUGCAGUUUCUCGACCAAGAAAAGAAAAACUAAAGCCACAAGCAGUGAUAAAUCGAAGACGAUGCAGCCAACG